AAUGAACGCUGGUGGCGCGCCUAAUACAUGCAAGUCGAGCGAGAAGACGUAGCAAUACGUUUGUAAAGCGGCGAACGGGUGAGGAAUACAUGGGUAACCUACCCUCGAGUGGGGAAUAACUAGCCGAAAGGUUAGCUAAUACCGCGUACGCUCCUUGGACUUCGGUUCAGGGAGGAAAGCGAUACCGUGGGUAUCGCGCUCUUGGUUGGCUCAUGUCCUAUCAGCUUGCUGGNGAGGUAACGGCUCACCAAGGCUUCGACGGGUAGCUGGUCUGAGAGGACGAUCAGCCACACUGGCACUGCGACACGGGCCAGACUCCUACGGGAGGCAGCAGUAAGGAAUAUUGCGCAAUGGGGCGAAAGCCUGACGCAGCGGCGCCGCGGUGGGGGA
rnacentral:rRNA from 1 species